rnacentral:rRNA from 1 species
UACGUAGGUUGCGAGCGUUAUUCGGAUUUACUGGGCGUAAAGAGCACCGAGGUGGCUUCUUAAGUUGGAUGUGAAAUCUCCUGGCUUAACCGGGAGGCGCCAUUCAAAACUGGGGAGCUUGAGGUCAGCAGGGGAAGGUGGAAUUCCCGGUGUAGUGGUGGAAUGCGUAGAGAUCGGGAGGAACACCAGUGGCGAAAGCGACCUUCUGGGCUGCACCUGACACUCUAGUGCGAAAGCGUGGGGAGCAAACAGG